CCAGUCAACAACAAAAGGACUUGGUGUGUGUGAAAUCCUGCAAGGCAAGCUCCACUUUCAGCACAUUUGCAACAUUAAGGUUGCAUCCAAAUGAUUGUGGGGUUAAUUUGGAUUCUCCGAAAUCUGUAGUUCUACUGGCAGAGAUGCCUAUUGCCUCUGGAGCUGCAGGCAGGGUGGAUGUGGGAGUAGGUGCGAGCACGACAUGGACAGCAGACGGACUGAAGAAGAAGACCAAACCUGCCAACAGGAACUGUGACUCCUAUCUGCAAAGAUAUCAGGAACUCAAAGAGAAGAAUAACAAAAGUAACUUGUGUCAGGACAACACAGAUCUGAGUGAUAACGAGAAUGAUGGUGAGAAGAAUGAUGG